rnacentral:rRNA from 1 species
ACGUAGGGUGCGAGCGUUAAUCGGAAUUACUGGGCGUAAAGGGUGCGCAGGCGGAUAUAUAAGUUAGAUGUGAAAUACCUGGGCUUAACCUAGGAACGGCAUUUAAUACUGUAUAUCUAGAGUUUGUCAGAGGGUGGUAGAAUUCCAAGUGUAGCAGUGAAAUGCGUAGAGAUUUGGAGGAAUACCGGUGGCGAAGGCGGCCACCUGGGAUAAAACUGACGCUCAUGCACGAAAGCGUGGGGAGCAAACAGGAUUAGAUACCCUGGUAGUCCACGCCCUAAACGAUGUCUACUUGCUGUUGGGGGGUAAGAUCCUUAGUAGCGAAGCUAACGCGAGAAGUAGACCGCCUGGGGAGUACGGUCGCAAGAUUA